UACGUAUGGUGCAAGCGUUAUCCGGAUUUACUGGGCGUAAAGGGAGCGCAGGCGGCGCGCCAAGUCUGAUGUGAAACCCCGGGGCUCAACCCCGGGCAUGCAUUGGAAACUGGCGGGCUGGAGUGCCGGAGAGGUAAGCGGAAUUCCUAGCGUAGCGGUGAAAUGCGUAGAUAUUAGGAGGAACACCAGUGGCGAAGGCGGCUUACUGGACGGCAACUGACGCUGAGGCUCGAAAGCGUGGGGAGCAAACAGG
rnacentral:rRNA from 1 species